UACGAAGGGGGCUAGCGUUGCUCGGAAUCAUUGGGCGUAAAGAGCGUGUAGGCGGCCCGGUAAGUCCGCUGUAAAAGUCAAAGGCUCAACCUUUGAAUGUCAGUGGAUACUGCCGGGCUAGAGUCCGGAAGAGGCGAGUGGAACUCCUGGUGUAGCGGUGGAAUGCGCAGAUAUCAGGAAGAACACCAACGGCGAAGGCAGCUCGCUGGGACGGUACUGACGCUGAGACGCGAAAGCGCGGGGAGCGAACAGG
rnacentral:rRNA from 1 species